UACGAAGGGGACUAGCGUUGUUCGGAAUCACCGGGCGUAAAGCGCACGUAGGCGGAUGUGUCAGUCAGGGGUGAAAUCCCGGGGCUCAACCUCGGAACUGCCUUUGAUACAGCACGUCUCGAGUCCGGAAGAGGUGGGUGGAAUUCCUAGUGUAGAGGUGAAAUUCGUAGAUAUUAGGAAGAACACCGGUGGCGAAGGCGGCCCACUGGUCCGGUACUGACGCUGAGGUGCGAAAGCGUGGGGAGCAAACAGG
rnacentral:rRNA from 1 species